ensembl:lncRNA
UCGUGCGGAGCGGCCGGCCUUCCCGUAGACGUGUUGACCUCGCCUUCGCCCCGGGUGGCCGGAGAAGGCUUGAGGGCCGUACAAAUCCGUAUGAGUCCUUCGAAGCGCUUGGUGUUCGGUGCUAGCGAAAAGACGAGAAUUGCUGGGAAACCGUCUGGCUUGUCAAAAUACUUUGCAGCGUAGGGUGGGGAAUUUCUUGUUUUGGUCUGUUUUUACCUGCAUCGUUUGUGGAUAAACUGUAACGCAGUUGACAGCUAAGCACAAAUUCUGUGGGAGUGUUUCUGUGAGUUGGGAGAAAGGUCAAGCUGGAUCCAGCUUAAGGUGUGAACAAAAGCGGCCCUUGGGCUGAGGCUUCACAAAGGAAGGUUUGGUCUGGAGGUUUUAAUGGCACAGGCGAAGACCUUUGGAAAAGAGCUUUUAUCAUGGAAACCAAGUAUCUGUAAGAAUUAACUAAACCAGCAUCAUUAAAAAAAAAAAGUUUCUGAGAAUGCAGAAAUGCUUUCUUCUUCGUUUCCUCUCAAGUGAGAACAAGUUCAGUACUCCGUGGUGCUGGGAGAAGAAUGUGUACUUCACCUCUUCCACAUUGGAGACAUGUAUCAGAAGUAAAACUCCAGAACUGAGCUGUACUAUAGAGCAAGAAAACUCCCUGUACUCCUCCGAACACUUCCUGACUGCAGACAGAGUGGUGGUAAGUCAUUUAGCUCAUCUGUAG